GACGAACGCUGGCGGCGUGCCUAAUACAUGCAGGUAGAACGCACAGUUUAUACCGUAGCUUGCUACACCAUAGACUGUGAGUUGCGAACGGGUGAGUAACGCGUAGGUAACCUGCCUGGUAGCGGGGGAUAACUAUUGGAAACGAUAGCUAAUACCGCAUAAUAUUAAUUAUUGCAUGAUAAUUAAUUGAAAGGUGCAAUUGCACCACUACCAGAUGGACCUGCGUUGUAUUAGCUAGUAGGUGAGGUAACGGCUCACCUAGGCGACGAUACAUAGCCGACCUGAGAGGGUGAUCGGCCACACUGGGACUGAGACACGGCCCAGACUCCUACGGGAGGCAGCAGUAGGGAAUCUUCGGCAAUGGACGAAAGUCUGACCGAGCAACGCCGCGUGAGUGAAGAAGGUUUUCGGAUCGUAAAGCUCUGUUGUAAGAGAAGAACGGGCGUGAGAGUGGAAAGUUCACACUGUGACGGUAUCUUACCAGAAAGGGACGGCUAACUACGUG
rnacentral:rRNA from 1 species